UACGUAGGGUGCAAGCGUUGUCCGGAAUUAUUGGGUCGUAAAGCGCACGUAGGCGGUUCGUUAUGUCGGAUUGUGAAAGCCCUUGGCUUAACUGAGGAAGUGCAUCCGAAACUGGCGAGCUAGAGUACGAAAGAGGAUCGCGGAAUUCCCGGUGUAGAGGUGAAAUUCGUAGAUAUCGGGAGAACACCGGUGGCGAAGGCGGCGAUCUGGGGUCGAUACUGAACGCUGAGGUGCGAAAGCGUGGGGAGCAAACAAGGAUUGAGAUA
rnacentral:rRNA from 1 species